GCCAGACUCCUACGGGAGGCAGCAGUGGGGAAUAUUGGACAAUGGGGGGAACCCUGAUCCAGCGACGCCGCGUGAGUGAAGAAGUAUUUCGGUAUGUAAAGCUCUCUCAGCAGGGAAGAAAGAAAUGACGGUACCUGACUAAGAAGCCCCGGCUAACUACGUGCCAGUAGCCGCGGUAAUACGUAGGGGGCAAGCGUUAUCCGGAUUUACUGGGUGUAAAGGGGGCGCAGACGGCAGCGCAAGCCAGGAGUGAAAGCCCGGGGCCCAACCCCGGGACUGCAUUGGAAACUGACAGGCUGGAGUGUCGGAGAGGCAGGCGGAAUUCCUAGUGUAGCGGUGAAAUGCGUAGAUAUUAGGAGGAACACCAGUGGCGAAGGCGGCCUGCUGGACGAUGACUGACGCUGAGGCUCGAAAGCGUGAGGAGCAAACAGGAUUAGAUACCCCAGUA
rnacentral:rRNA from 1 species